rnacentral:rRNA from 1 species
CCUGGUGAUGAUGGUAAAGUGGACACACCUGUUCCCAUCCCGAACACAGAAGUUAAGCACUUUCGCGCCGAUGGUAGUACUACGUGCAAGAGUAGGUAAUUGCCAGGC